UAGUGAGUUUGAUCCUGGCUCAGAACGAACGCUGGCGGCAUGCCUAACACAUGCAAGUCGAACGAGACCUUCGGGUCUAGUGGCGCACGGGUGCGUAACGCGUGGGAACCUGCCCUUAGGUUCGGAAUAACAGUUAGAAAUGACUGCUAAUACCGGAUAAUGUCUUCGGACCAAAGAUUUAUCGCCUUUUGGAUGGGCCCGCGUAAGAUUAGGUAGUUGGUGGGGUAAACGGCCUACCGAAGCCGACGAUCUUUAGCUGUUCUG
rnacentral:rRNA from 1 species